rnacentral:rRNA from 1 species
CCUACGGGGUGCAGCAGUGGGGGAUAUUGCACAAUGGGGGAAACCCUGAUGCAGCGACGCCGCGUGUGGGAAGACGGUCUUCUGGAUUGUAAACCACUGUCCCCAGGGACGAAAAUGACGGUACCUCCAAAGGAAGCGCCGGCUAACUCCGUGCCAGCAGCCGCGGUAAUACGGAGGGCGCGAGCGUUAAUCGGAAUUACUGGGCGUAAAGCGCGCGUAGGCUGUUGUGUAAGUUGGGGGUGAAAUCCCACGGCUCAACCGUGGAACAGCCCUUGAUACUGCGCGACUUGAAUCCGGGAGAGGGUGGCGGAAUGCCAGGUGUAGGAGUGAAAUCCGUAGAUAUCUGGAGGAACAUCAGUGGCGAAGGCGGCCACCUGGACCGGUAUUGACGCUGAGGCGCGAAAGCGUGGGGAGCAAACAGGAUUAGAUACCCUUGUAGUC